GUCAUUACAUCAGACUAUACAUGCAAGUCGAACGCUUCUUUCCUCCCGAGUGCUUGCACUCAAUUGGAAAGAGGAGUGGCGGACGGGUGAGUAACACGUGGGUAACCUACCCAUCAGAGGGGGAUAACACUUGGAAACAGGUGCUAAUACCGCAUAACAGUUUAUGCCGCAUGGCAUAAGAGUGAAAGGCGCUUUCGGGUGUCGCUGAUGGAUGGACCCGCGGUGCAUUAGCUAGUUGGUGAGGUAACGGCUCACCAAGGCCACGAUGCAUAGCCGACCUGAGAGGGUGAUCGGCCACACUGGGACUGAGACACGGCCCAGACUCCUACGGGAGGCAGCAGUAGGGAAUCUUCGGCAAUGGACGAAAGUCUGACCGAGCAACGCCGCGUGAGUGAAGAAGGUUUUCGGAUCGUAAAACUCUGUUGUUAGAGAAGAACAAGGACGUUAGUAACUGAACGUCCCCUGACGGUAUCUAACCAGAAAGCCACGGCUAACUACGUGCCAGCAGCCGCGGUAAUACGUAGGUGGCAAGCGUUGUCCGGAUUUAUUGGGCGUAAAGCGAGCGCAGGCGGUUUCUUAAGUCUGAUGUGAAAGCCCCCGGCUCAACCGGGGAGGGUCAUUGGAAACUGGGAGACUUGAGUGCAGAAGAGGAGAGUGGAAUUCCAUGUGUA
rnacentral:rRNA from 1 species